GGCCCCUUCGUUCAGUGGUUUAGGACUCCGGCCUUUCACGCCGGCAACACGGGUUCGAAUCCCGUAGGGGUCA
rnacentral:tRNA from 1 species